UACGGGAGGCAGCAGUGGGGAAUAUUGCACAAUGGGCGCAAGCCUGAUGCAGCCAUGCCGCGUGUGUGAAGAAGGCCUUCGGGUUGUAAAGCACUUUCAGUUGUGAGGAAGGUGGUGUCGUUAAUAGCGGCAUCAUUUGACGUUAGCAACAGAAGAAGCACCGGCUAACUCCGUGCCAGCAGCCGCGGUAAUACGGAGGGUGCGAGCGUUAAUCGGAAUUACUGGGCGUAAAGCGCAUGCAGGUGGUUUGUUAAGUCAGAUGUGAAAGCCCGGGGCUCAACCUCGGAACUGCAUUUGAAACUGGCAGACUAGAGUACUGUAGAGGGGGUAGAAUUUCAGGUGUAGCGGUGAAAUGCGUAGAGAUCUGAAGGAAUACCGGUGGCGAAGGCGGCCCCCUGGACAGAUACUGACACUCAGAUGCGAAAGCGUGGGGAGCAAACAGGAUUAGAUUCCCUUGUAG
rnacentral:rRNA from 1 species